CAGGGGAUGCGAUGGCUUGGCUUGGGCUCAGAGGCCUGACAGAGACCAUCCCGGCCAACACGGUGAAACCCCGUCUCUCCUAAAAAUACAAAAAAUUAGCCGGGCGUGGUGGUGGGCGCCUGUGGUCCCAGCUACUUGGGAGGCUGAGGCAGGAGAAUGGCAUGAACCUGGGAGGCAGAGCUUGCAGUGAGCCGAGAUCGCACCACUGCACUCCAGCCUGGGCGACAGAGCGAGACUCCGUCUCAAAAAAAAAAAAAAAAAGAGAGAGUGUCAUGAUCAGAUUUGCAUUUGAAAAAUAUUACUCUAAUAGCACAGAGGAGGGAGGACUAUAGUGUGCAGAGGCAGUUAGGAGGUUACUGCUAUAGUGCAGCUAAGAGAUAAGAGCCUGGACGAAGCCAUUGGGAAUGCAGGUGGUGAUUGAAAUUAUUCCAGAGGUGAAAUCCCUGUGACUUGGUGAUUGACUGGGUGCAGGGCCUAUGGUUCAUCCUGCAAUAUCAGAGAAUACACAACUGUUGGAAGCUCAUUUGUGCAGAAGCACUAGUUAGACCAAGUCCCAGGAUGGUGGGGACUUGAACUGCCUCAUGCACAUUGUACCCAAGAGCCUGGCCCAUGAAGGUGAAUCAGUGGAUACUUGAAUAAAAAGAAGAAUAUGCGCUGAAGUUUUCUUUGAGGACAUUUUUUUUUCUUUCCAUAGUUUUGAGCAUCUCUGAUGUUUUGAGAUUUCUGCCAGUCUUUGAGGAUGUAAUGCUCAAUUAGACUUGUUCUCUGUCCUCAAAGAGCUUAUAUAAUAGUUAGUGAGCUAAUUCUCCUGUUUUGAGAGACAGGAGAAAAUGUUAUGUUAUAAUGAGUCAUUCAGACUCUAUCUACUAGGCCUGACUUUGUUACUUUUUAAAAAGCAUUCUUCCACUCCUGCUUGGAUAUCUCUGUAUACAAGACUCAGAGACACGUAUGACGCCCCUUAGGAGGGGUUCUGACGUGCAAAUUUCUGAGACCCAGAAGCACCUACCUUCCAUUUUCCAAUGCCCCAAAUUCUAUGAAAACCACGAGCACAUGCAUUCGUUCCCAUGUUCUCGGGUGCCUCGCCUAUCAGUCAAGGGUCACAAGAUCUGCAGGGCAGUUGCUUUCAAAAUAAAAUGGAUGUGAAAACAGCUGAAGCCCAGCGAGCACUUGAUAACUGCUUCUUUUGAAGGCAAAAUAAGAUUAUUCUAUGAGGUAACAGGCUCCUUCUGGGCUUAAGUAGGCAUAGGGUUUACAGUGUAGAUUCUUGUGCUAUGGUUUUCCCAUAAAAGAGGGAAACCUUGAAAUCACAGCACUUUUGUGGUAGGGAGGAUUUCAAGCAGUGCUUAAUAAGGUGUACAUGACCAUAGCAGAGUGUCCCCCCCCAUCUCAGGGAAAAGGCCCCUGAAAUUAAUCAUGAGAAUCCUCUCCUGUCCCCAGGGACCUAGAUGAACCCUGACUAAUGAAUAUUUAAAUCUCACUCUUUGUCUGCUCUCACACUCAAACCCUGAUUCAUGACUGUAUGCUUUCCAUUUGGCAUGGAACAGAGAUCACAAGUCCACAGGGUAUAGCUCCAUGCCACCUGGGGCUCCUUUAGACAUUAGUAUUAU
rnacentral:lncRNA from 1 species